GGUCGAGGUGCAGAUGUGUCCUUCCAGCAGGAGGUCAGUGUGGAGGCCAAGCACAGCCUGAAAGUGAGCCACUCCAUCUCCAAAGGCAAAGGCAGCCUGCGGCCCAUCGGAUCCCAUGUCCAGGGGUUAUCCAGUUCUCAUCACAUCUUUCCCUCUCUCUGCAUUCCUGCACCGCAACAGCUGAGCAUCAGUGGCGGCACAGCAGGAGAGAGGAGCUCUGUGAGCUGUGUGCUGCCUGAGGACUUGCUGGUGGCCAUCCUCUCUGAAAGGCUGCAGCUGAGUGACUGCUCCCAGGGAGUGGUGUUUGAUGGCCUGGAGACCCUCUUUGUACACAGCAUAGUGUCUGCUCUCCUCUGCCUGCUCAAAGCUGUGAGGAAUCGACCUCAUGUCUACUUCGUGAACCUGUACCAGGAUUGUGAUUCUUGGAAAGCCAGGGAGACAGCCAUGAAAGAGCAGAAAGGACAAGAGCAGGAAGAACCUGCCAGGAGUGAGGAAGCAUAUCUCCAGGACAUGGAUGAGGAAGAGUAUGACGCCCUCACCGAGGAACAGAAAAUUCAGUUUAAUAACAACAUCCGACAAGUUCAGCGUGAGAGGAAG